CAGAGAAUAGUUUAUAAAAAUAUUAAUUUUGGGAAUUAAAGAUAAAGGGUUUUCUUUUUCUCUGA
rnacentral:tRNA from 1 species